AUGAAUUGCUUUUUUUUUGGGCCAAUACCGAUUAAAAUCUCUUGCGACUGAUUCAAACGUGCGUUCAAAAAAACAUUGAGAAAAUGGCGAAUCUGCUAAGCGAGCUCGAGAGAUUUGAGCAGGAAAUGAAAGAACUGGUUUCAGAUUCUCCGCCCUCGCCAAGUCAAGCAAGCAACGAUACUUCAUCUACCUCGGCUUUUCCAUCUUCUUCAGAGGCAAAUGUACUUACUGCUGCACCAACAUCAAAUGAGACUACGGUACAAAGCAUAACUCCAGCACAACAGUCGUCGAGGUCUCCGGCAGCUCCUGCUGCAUCAGUUGUGACAAGCAGUUAUCUACCUGGGAGGCCUUCACCUAUUAUAUCUUCUAGUGCUCAGUUGCAGCCUCAGGUAUCCACACCUCCCGCUCCAACAGCACCUCAUAUACAAUGGUUGGGCAAUGGGGCAGGACCAGCAUUGGCACCGUCAGCACCCGUUCCUCCAGUUUCAGCUUCAACUUCAUCACAAUUCACAUAUUCAAGUGGAGCAUACCCACCUGGACCUUCCAAUGUUCCUUCUGUGUCAGCGGCAGCAACAUCUGGUUCUCCAUAUUUUCCACUCCCCUUUCAUCUUCAGCAGCAGCCAGAACAUCUGCAACAACAGCAACCAGAGCAGCAAUACCCUCAGCAGCAGCAGUAUGUGAUGGCACAGUAUCAGCCCCAAGUUCAGAAGUAUCCGUUACCUCCACAGCUGCAACAGCCACCCUCAAUUCAAGCACCUCAGUAUCAGUACUCAUCUUUAUAUCAGGCACCGGCAGCUGUAGGUGGAAUUUACUCACUUCCCCAGCAACAACAGGCUCAACAGUUAUUCCAGAAGGAUGCUCAAACUAUAACACCCGAGGCUCUAGAAAGUGUAAAGGCUGCACUUGCAAGUAGUGAAAAUGAGCACAAGGCUGAAACUAAAAAGAAAGCAAUUCCACGGAAAGCUGCAGGUCAAACAUGGGAAGAUCCAACACUUGCAGAUUGGCCAGAAAAUGAUUUUCGCUUAUUUUGUGGAGAUCUUGGCAAUGAAGUCAACGAUGAAGUUCUUACCAAAGCAUUUUCAAGAUAUGCAAAUUUUAACAUGGCUAGGGUUGUAAGAGACAAGCGUACUGGGAAAACAAAGGGUUAUGGUUUUGUUAGCUUCUCCACUCCUUCGGAGCUUGCUCUUGCCUUAAAAGAAAUGAAUGGAAAGUAUGUUGGAAAUAGGCCCAUAAAGUUACGCAAGAGUAACUGGAAGGAACGGACAGAUUUUGAUGCUUGGGAAAAACACAAGAACCACAAGAAAGGAAAAUUAUCAAAGAAGAAUGUCCUGCAUAAGUGAAUCUGGAUAUCCAGUUUAGUUAGACUUCUAACUUGGUGUGUGGUAUGUGGUUGUGUAACGAUCCAUGUAGAAUCAAUUUUAAUGCGCAGUAUAUUAUUUUAAGGGAAAGGACCAGGUCAUAUCGCCUUAUGGCUUAUCAAGACAUGUUUGAACUUCUUUUUGAGUGAAAUGUUUUUACGUUAAAAAAACUUAUGCGAAGGGCCAUUACUGAUUCAAGGAUUACCAACUUCCUCAGAUGGAGUUUUAUACAUAUGUGAUGUCUCUUGAUGGUCUUCUGAGGCAUACUUAGCCUGAGCCCGGUCCUCUGCAUUCAAUUUACCUCCAGAUGUUGUGAAUUUUCUUUGCUUUUGCUGAGUUCUUCGGCAUUAAGAGAGGAGGUAGUUUCUGCAUGUAGUUGAGGUGCUUUUUUUCUUUUUCUUUUCAAAUUGAUGGGCCCUGUAGGUUAGUCAAUGCCCUUGUGACCAUACUUUACUUUUUCCCUUUGGGCUACUUCAGACUUGAAUUUUCCUGGAGAUAUUUUUUUCUUAAUGUCAGUACUUGCAGAAGUAAGCCAAUCAUGUUGUCCAAAGUAGAGAAAAGUAUUGAUUGUCUUGAACAAAUGUUGGAUGGCGAUAAUAUUUUAGACCACAAAUAAUUGAUCAAAACAACAUUAAACGAUGUCUACACAAUUUGAAAUUAAUCACUAAAAUGCAACGAGUAAGUUUAAAAAUCA